GAUGAACGCUAGCGGCAGGCUUAAUACAUGCAAGUCGUGGGGCAGCAGGUCUGUAUCAAUACAGUUGCUGGCGACCGGCAAACUGGUGCGUAACACGUACGCAACUUACCCUGCACUGGGGGAUAUCCCUUGGUAACCCGGAUUAUUACCCCGUAAUAUAAUGGAGUUGUAUCACUUUCUUAUUAAAACUCCGGCGGUUCGGUCUAGGCGUUCGUCUGGUUAGGUAGUUGGUUGAGGUAACGGCUCACCAAGCCUACGAUAAGUAACUGGUGUGAGAGCAAGACCAGUCACACGGGUACUGAGAUACGGGCCAGACUCCUACGGGAGGCAGCAGUAAGGAAUAUUGGGCAAUGGAGGGAACUCUGACCCAGCCAUGCCGCGUGGAGGAUGACGGCCCUAUGGGUUGUAAACUUCUUUUAUAGGGGACGAAAAAUGUGUAUUCUUACGCAGUCGACGGUACCCUAGGAAUAAGCACCGGCUAACUCCGUG
rnacentral:rRNA from 1 species